AGAGUUUGAUGGUGGCUCAGAACGAACGCUGGCGGCGUGGAUAAGACAUGCAAGUCGAACGGGAGAAUUGCUAGCUUGCUAAUAAUUCUCUAGUGGCGCACGGGUGAGUAACACGUGAGUAACCUGCCUCUUAGUGGGGGAUAGCCCUGGGAAACCGGGAUUAAUACCGCAUACGAUUGAAAGAUCAAAGCAGCAAUGCGCUAGGAGAUGGGCUCGCGGCCUAUUAGUUAGUUGGUGAGGUAACGGCUCACCAAGGCGAUGACGGGUAGCCGGUCUGAGAGGAUGUCCGGCCACACUGGAACUGAGACACGGUCCAGACACCUACGGGUGGCAGCAGUCGAGAAUCAUUCACAAUGGGGGCAACCCUGAUGGUGCGACGCCGCGUGGGGGAAUGAAGGUCUUCGGAUUGUAAACCCCUGUCAUGUGGGAGCAAAUAAAAAGAUAG
rnacentral:rRNA from 1 species